rnacentral:rRNA from 1 species
GCCUCCUGAAGGGCCCAGCGAGACCAGCUGGUUGAUAGGCACGGUGUGGAAGCGCUGCAAGGCGUUGAGCUAACGUGUACUAAUGGCCCGUGAGGCUUGACCCUAUAACACCCAAGGGGU